rnacentral:rRNA from 1 species
AUUGAACGCUGGCGGCAGGCCUAACACAUGCAAGUCGAGCGGAUGAAGGGAGCUUGCUCCUGGAUUCAGCGGCGGACGGGUGAGUAAUGCCUAGGAAUCUGCCUGGUAGUGGGGGAUAACGUCCGGAAACGGGCGCUAAUACCGCAUACGUCCUGAGGGAGAAAGUGGGGGAUCUUCGGACCUCACGCUAUCAGAUGAGCCUAGGUCGGAUUAGCUAGUAGGUGGGGUAAAGGCCUACCAAGGAGACGAUCCGUAACUGGUCUGAGAGGAUGAUCAGUCACACUGGAACUGGAACACGGUCCAGACUACUACGGGAGGCAGCAGUGGGGAAUAUUGGACAAUGGGCGAAAGCCGGAUCCAGCCAUGCCGCGUGUGUGAAGAAGGUCUUCGGAUUGUAAAGCACUUAAAGUUGGGAGGAAGGGCAAUAAGUUAAUACCUUGCUGUUUUGACGUUACCAACAGAAUAAGCACCGGCUAACUACGUG